rnacentral:lncRNA from 1 species
CCAGGAGCUAAAAGUUUGUGUGCCCCUUUUCUUUUCUUUCAAGUUAACAGGCUUUGACUCUGAUAUCUUUAGGCAGAUUCGUGAUUUCUGAUUGCACCAAAAGCUACCAUUGUUUGACCAGCAUUUUCGAUAGCCACGUAUGUGCUUUUGUUCUGCCAACGUUAACGUUCGUGACCACCGAGGUUUCAGUCAAAUGGCUUGUGCGCCAAUACAGGAAAUGUUUUCUUUUUUUUUGCGAAGAAUACAGGAAAUGUUUUCGCACAGACGUGUACGUAAUCUUCCAUGUCGUCGGUGAUCCAGUAGCCAAUCAACACAAAUGAGAUAAUCCCACCAGUUAGUAGGAUUCAUGGCACUGAUGUUGCAUCCUUUUUGUAAUCAUUUGCAGUUCUAAUUUUUAUCCCCACGUUUUCUAAUUUUUCUUUUAUUCCCCUAAAUUUCUAGUUUUCUCAUCUUGAGUUGUGAGAUAGGAUUUCAUCGCUUGUACAGGUUGUAGUAUUGCACUUUUUCCCUGCUAAAAACUUCUUGUGACAAAACCUGCACUGAAAAUUUACUACUUGUCAGAUUUCUGAGAUAGGAUUUCAUGGCAAGGGC